GGAGAGGUGUCCGAGUGGCUGAAGGAGCCGGUUUCGAAAACCGGUGUGCCCUUUACGGGUACCGCGGGUUCGAAUCCCGCUCUCUCCG
rnacentral:tRNA from 1 species